AAUUUUGAUCACGUGUCAGGAUUGCACAGAGCUAGACAACCAGUAAAAACCUUACCUCACGAAGACGCAGCCCCUGCCUGCAACUACGACGACGGCGACGCUGCCCCUUCUUCCUCCGAUGCCGCCUAAUCGUUUUAACAACCGCAGCGUUCCAGUGUUGAUUUUCUGAUCCAGGUCUGUCGCUGCCUACUCUCGCCGGGAAUAACACCACCGCCGUCUUCAAUUUUGGCGGCCACCAUGACAGCAUCAGACUUCGACCGAUAUUGCAGCUCUCAUUCUCUCUUUCAUUCUCUUUGUUUACUGAGUAUUGUUUUCUAUUCUCUUCAUAUGAUGUAUCAGUUAAUUGCCAUAACUUCUCUUAGCCAUGUCUAGGAUAAAUCAAUUGAUCACUCAGUUUUGUCUUGCUACCACCAGAAAGAAGUGCUAAAAGUGUUCAUCUUAAUUCAAUGGUUUCACUCUUGACCCAUCUCUUGGUGACUUUAUCCUGAUUCACACAUUAAGUGAUAUUCUUGUGGCUGCAUAUACAAAGUACUCUUUGAUUUUCAGUCUCUCUCUGCAAUCUACCUACAAAUCUACAAUCUGAAGAGGACUGUCUGCCUCUGUCCAACUCCAUGCAAUGCUAUCCUUCAACUCCCUUUCAUAGAGCAUCUCCACCAAGUGGCACCACUUUUCCUAGAACAUGUAUUUCACUUCAAUGUUUCACUGAAUGUCAGGAGGUGCUACAUAGUAAGCGGAAUCAACAUUUUACAAUUGACACCCUUGAUGGGGCUUGAUCAAUUCUUUUGGCUGAAACAAUUAUUUUUCUAUGGUGCCAACCUUUUAUACUCUUGAUGAAUGACAUGACUUUGAGAAAAAGAGAUAAUAGUGAGGUUUGGAUUUGAUACUCAAAGGUAUGCAUUUAGGUUUACAUUAAACAUAUGAGUUUAGUAUCUACAUCUUUGGGUAAAAUUUUAUGGUAGACAUUUUUAAGGAAAAAAAAUACA